rnacentral:lncRNA from 1 species
GGAGUGUGUCCAUUUGGGUAGCUGUUCAUUUUAAGCCUGAGGACAUUAAUGGGUUUCUUUCUCAAAACCCUAUAAAGUAAAGCAGCAAUGUUUAACGAUGAUGGAAGAACCUCAUAUGGUAAUUUUAAACCCUUGUUUGAAUAAUAAAGUACCUUGGUCACUGAUGAUGGAAGAACCCCAGAUGCUCCCUCCACGUACAAGCAAUCAUUAUUUACCAGAUUUCUAACAAAAUGUUUGAAAAAC